rnacentral:rRNA from 1 species
AUACGGAGGGUGCAAGCGUUGUCCGGAUUUAUUGGGUUUAAAGGGUGCGUAGGCGGAUAAUUAAGUCAGUGGUGAAAGACUGCAGCUCAACUGUAGAGGUGCCAUUGAUACUGAUUAUCUUGAGUACAGUUGAGGUAGGCGGAAUUUAUGGUGUAGCGGUGAAAUGCAUAGAUACCAUAAAGAACACCGAUAGCGAAGGCAGCUUACUGGACUGUAACUGACGCUGAGGCACGAAAGCGUGGGGAGCGAACGGGAUUAGAAACCCUAGUAGUCC